rnacentral:lncRNA from 10 species
AACAACUAGAAAAGUAUGGCCUAAAACAGUCAACUUGUCCUAUAAAAUUUAUGCUGACACAGUGUGCCUUUGCCAGAAUACUUUCUUACACGUCUUCUUCUCCUACACCCCAGUGUAUUUGUCUGUUAACAGAAUACAGGAACUUCUUUGGCACGUAGAUUCUGAAUGUCAGCACAAGCACUGAGUCUUAGGAAAAUGGAACAAAUUAGGGAAUUUCUCAGCAGUACCACUGCCAGCUUUCUCCGGGCACUUGUACCAGUGUUUAUUUUAAUGACUUCAAUCAGGAUAUGUUCCUCACCUUAAUGCAGAAGCUCAAGAUUUUAGAGAUCAGCAGAGGAUUCAAUGUAUUUUAGUCUUGCUUUGCAGAAAUUAUUGGGUGGAGUUUUUCUGUGAGGAAAUGGAGCAGUAAAAAUCCCUUCUUGCCACCACUUUCCACCCCAGCUUUGUCAUUUGGCAUCUGUCCACCUGAAUUUAUUUUAACAGUUCCAGCUUAUGGUUCAUAAAAGAUCAUAAACCAAUAUUAUGUCCACAGAUUGAGUUCUGCAUAUAGCAUUUAAACAUCUCUUCUCUAGAAAAAUUACAAAAAAUGCCUUAGAGUUCUGUAGGUACAAGAUUUUCAUUGUUUUUUUGUUUUUUUUUUGUUUUGUUUUGUUUUGUUUUUUGAUUCAGUUUUAUGAUGUCUUUUGGAAACAUGGUUUGCCCCUUGUAUAGUGAACCCUUGUACAUUUUUCAAAAGUCAUCAAAGGACAAAGAAAGGAAAAACUGGUGAAUGUGACAGAGGCACCCAGCAAUGUUCUGAGGGACAGAUUUCACAAGCUGCCCAAGUGGCCCAAAAGAAUUUACAGGGAAGGCAGGUAAGCCCUUUAAGUUUGAUUUCAAGUUGAAGAUGCAUUCUGGGGAGCUUUGACCAUGGAAAAGGUAUCUGAGGGUCUCAGUUUACUCUUCGUAUCUGUAGCUGAACCUUAGAUGAGAAAAGAGACAAAUCUUGAGGAUGUGGUAGGCAGGCAAGCUACAUGAGGAGGAAUAGCAGGAGAUGUGGAGGAGAAACGUGACUCAGGAUGUACUUGGAAGAUAGAUGGCUUUCAGGGAGAUGGUUCCUUCAUCAAUGCCUGUUUCCAUCACUGUCAUGCAGUGUCUACCCUCUCUUAUAUUUUCUCACAACCAGUUUUACAAAACAUCCAGAGGGAACUGACACAGCGUGUCUUUGCCAGAAUACCUUCUUACACGUCUUCUUCCCCUACACCCCAGAGUUUCAUAUACAUAAAAACAUGGAACUAAGCACCAUGUUUUUAUGUAUAUGAAAUCGAUUGUCAGAUCAUUUAGCAGUGGUUAUAUUGAAAGUGGAGAGUGAAAAAAAGAGGUAGUGAGGGAAAAAGAUAUUGAAUCUAUCCAAUCAUCUUUGUAGGAUAUAAGAAGUCUCAUGGUACAGGUAUAGUCAAUGUGAAACCUUAACAAUGCAUUAAUUAUAAAGCUCAAGCAGUUCUGAGAUAAGAUGAUUUUGGUUUAUGGGGAUACAAUAAAUUUGAGUCUGCAGCAUAUGAAAGAAUUUUCCCAGAUAUUGCGCUUUCUUUUUCAUUUUUCUCAUUUUAAUCAAUAGAAUGUAAGGAUAAAGUACAAAAUGUAUGGAAAGAAUAAAACUUUCCUGCGUCCUCCUGACUAUAAAAAGGUGAGUGAAUCAUCUGCUUAAACACCAACCCAGUCAUUUUAUCUCCUGUGUCCUUGAAUGAGAAGCUGGGCUGGGCACCCCUCCAGCUGGUAAGAGGAUCUUUGAGUCGCAUGAUAGAAGGGAGAAGUCUGAACCUGCAGCUCUCUCUUUCUCUUCCCUCUGGUUUCUGGCAGGCUUUCUGCGCAGAGACCAUCCUCUGUCAUGAUUGUGCACACACAUUUCCAGUGCAGGUCCCCUUUGCCCCAUUACUGUUCUGAUCAGAACCCUGAGCCUGUGUGGAGAUGCCUGUAAGGACAGGCAGGUCUGGCUCAUUACAAAGAAACAGGAUCUUUAGGCUUCCUGGGAAUGGUUCACACAGUUGGGUGGGCUCUGAGAUCAAGGUGUCUGCAUGAUUCCUGGAAAGAGAUGCAGAGUAGGCAUCCCUAACCUGGGCCAGGUGCCUCAAAUCAUAAGAUUUUAGGACAGGAAUUGUGUGCUCUGGUUCUUGAGAAGAACCAGAAGAGUGAGAAAGGAUGCAGUGAUGCACACCAACACCUCCACAAGGGAAACACGUGAAUGUGCCUGUCCUUAGGACAGGGCUUAGCCGGGCCCCCCGCGCAAAAGAAGUUCAGCAGCAUGGGUAGUGGAAAUCAGACAAGCAGCCCUGCCCUGCAUGACAGACAGCCCAGGCUCUCCAUCAGAAGCUGCAAAAGUCCUAAUCACUUUCCCCACAAAGUGGACAUGGAAGUCCUUCUUUUUUUUUUUUUUUUUUUUACUUUUUCUUUUUCAAAUUAUUCUUUCUUUUUUGAGACAGGGUCACACUCUGUGGCCCAGGCUGGAGUGCAGUGGUGCAAUCAUGGCUUACUGUAGCCUUGACCUCCUGGACUCAGGUGAUCCUCCUACCUCAGCCUCCUGAGUGGCUGGGACUACAGGUGUGCAUCACCAUGCCCAGCUUUUUUUUUUGUAUUUUUUAGUAGAAAUGAGGUUUCACCAUGUUGCCCAGGCUGGUGUCAAACUUAUGGGCUCAAGUAAUCCACCCACCUCAUCCUCCCAAACUACUGCUGGGAUUACAGGUGUGAGCCACCUUGCAUUUUCUUUUUUGCCUUUUUUUUUUUUUUUUUUUUUUUUUGAGAUAGGGUCUCACUCUGUCGCCCAGGCUACAGUGCAGUAGCAUGAUUUCAGCUCACUGCAGCCUCAGCCUCCUGGGUCUAAGUGAUCCUCCCACCUCAGCAGCCUGGUAUCUAGGACCAUAGGUGUGUGUCACCAUGCCCGGCUAAUUUUUUUUAUUUUUUUGUAAUGACAGGGAUCUCCUUGUGUUGCCCAGGUUGGUCUCACACUCCUCAGCUCAAGCGAUCAUCUCACUUUGGCCUCCCAAAGUGCUAGGAUUCAGGGAUGAGCCCACUGCACCUGGCCGAAGUCCUUUCUACUUCAGAUUUCCAUCAUGGGUAACUGUGAAAUCAGAAAGGAAUUGAAAUGAAGAAAACUCUGUGGCUUCCUUGGUGAAGUAAACCAGUUUGGGCUAGAGAGAGGUGAGCAGCCAAUGUUACAGUAGGAACAAUACUUCCUGUAUCCUCUUCUGAAUCAUUGCGUAAUAGGUUUCUGACAUGUAGAAAGCCCUGAAGAAACAUAGCAGGGAAGGAAGUGAAUGAGCCAACUGCAUUGGCUCAGUGCCCGCGGAACACCCUACUUCAAGGAUAAAAUUGCACCUCUGCUGCCAACAGUUCAGGCAAGGGAACCUAGACAAAUAAUGCUUGGAAUUCAACAGAAGAACAAGCCAAAAGAGGUCUAGGCAUUUUAAAAAAUGACUUCUAAGAUUGCUCUUUUGCUUGGCUUGUUUGCGUGCUUGCUUUAGUUC